CACUUGCAAAAUUCGCACGACUAGGCAAAUAGACGAAAUAAUCUAAACGAACCUUGUAAAAAUCAUCUUCAUGAACGAGAGAAGAUCCUUCAAAAAUGGCAUGUAAAAGCUGGCAUAGAGUCUGUCAAAACAAGAAAGAGAAAUUGGUUAGUACUUCAUUUUUUUUUUAUUUUGGAGUUUUUGAUUUUAUUUUAUUCUUUCUUAUUAAUCAAAAUUAUCAUACCGAUUUUCCACUACAAGAGGCACCACUAAUUUUUUCUUGUUAAUAAAAAUUCAUUAAAACAAUUGCCUGUAGAACUUACCUAACCCCAACAAUGAUAGUUUUCCGAGUCAUUCUAAUGAUAAUAUGGAAAAAUGAAGGUAAAAAUUGAGACAAGAAGCCUGGACAGAAGCUGGAUACUGGAAUUCGGUCUGUUAUAUUUGCACAACACAAUUAAUUAAUUACCAGCCAAAAGCUGUAAGACAGGUUAACCGAAUUUUAAAAAGAAUUUGGAUUUAAACAAAGCGCCUAGUAUCUUAAAUCAAGCUCGAUGAUUAUUUGUUAUGGAAAUAAACGAGAAUUUUAAAAAGAUAUGUGGUAAAGAAGCCGAAUCCACAAAAUUUUAUAACAACCAACAAAACUUUUAGAUAUACAAGAACAAGUAAAAGAUCACUUAUAACGAUUUCGCAAGUAUAAGAAAAUGGAAAAAGAAAGGAGUAUACAAAUUCUUUACGGUAUAAAUGGAGGAUUUGAAAGAUAAUUUAAAUUCACCAAAUAUUAACGCUUUCGAAUACGUAUAAGAAUUUUUAUAUGGCAAAUAUGCCCGGUAAAGAUUAAUGGUGUUUUGAGUUAUUGAUCGUUUAAAACAAGAGUGAAAUAGGAGGAAGGCUGGAGUUGGUAGUAUGAAGAUAUGGUUAGUAGUAUAAUCAGUCAAUAAUACAAGGCUUUGGAUGAUAGCAAU